AACGAACGCUGGCGGCAGGCCUAAUACAUGCAAGUCGAACGGAUGUAGCAAUACAUUAGUGGCGCACGGGUGCCUAACGCGUGGGAACAUACCCUUGAGUAAGGAAUAAUGUCUGGGAACGGACACUAAUACCUUAUAAUGACUUCGGUCCAAAGAUUAAUCGCUCAAGGAUUGGCCCGCGUCUGAUUAGCUAGUUGGUGAGGUAACGGCUCACCAAGGCGACGAUCAGUAGCUGGUCUGAGAGGAGGAUCAGCCACACUGGGACUGAGACACUGCCUAGACUCCAACGGGAGGCAGCAGUAAGGAAUAUUGGACAAUGGAGGAAACGCUGAUCCAGCCAUGCCGCGAGUGAAGAAGGCCUUAGGGUUGUAAAGCUCUUUCAAUGGUGAAGAUAAUGACGGUAGCCAUAGAAGAAGCCCCGGCUAAAUUCGUGCCAGCCGCCGCCGUAA
rnacentral:rRNA from 1 species